UGGAGAAGCAGGGCACAUGCA
rnacentral:miRNA from 2 species